rnacentral:rRNA from 1 species
UACGAAGGGGGCGAGCGUUGUUCGGAAUUACUGGGCGUAAAGGGCGCGCAGGCGGCUCUGAAAGUCAGAUGUGAAAGCCCCGGGCUUAACCUGGGAAUUGCAUUUGAUACUCUGGAGCUUGAGUAUGGGAGAGGAGAGUGGAAUUCCCAGUGUAGAGGUGAAAUUCGUAGAUAUUGGGAAGAACACCGGUGGCGAAGGCGGCUCUCUGGACCGUAACUGACGCUGAGGCGCGAAAGCGUGGGGAGCAAACAGG